AACUUAGCUGUGGCAGUAUCAUAACCUGUGAGGUUGCACUGAGGUGCAGUCAUUGCUAGUUGAAAACUUAUCCCUUCUGCAAAGCUGAUAUUGGUUUCUCAAUCUUGGCCUUAAUUUUGAUGGAAAUUAUUGUC
rfam:Alligator mississippiensis ScZkoYb_4, whole genome shotgun sequence.